GUAAUCCAGGUCAGUUUCUAUCUAUGAGAUGCUCCUGCCUAGUACGAAAGGACCGGCAAGGAGGGGCCAAUGCUACAAGUAUGCCCCAUCCUCACCUAAUGAAGGCAACUAAAUUAGGUAAGAGGACAUAUUAUUAGGCUGAAGAUUAUAGCAU
rnacentral:rRNA from 1 species